rnacentral:rRNA from 1 species
UACGGGGGGAGCAAGCGUUGUUCGGAUUUACUGGGCGUAAAGGGCGCGUAGGCGGCGCAACAAGUCACUUGUGAAAUCUCCGGGCUUAACUCGGAACGGCCAAGUGAAACUGUCAUGCUAGAGUGCAGAAGGGGCAAUCGGAAUUCUUGGUGUAGCGGUGAAAUGCGUAGAUAUCAAGAGGAACACCUGAGGUGAAGACGGCAUCCUGGACCAACACUGACGCUGAGGAGCGAAAGCCAGGGGAGCAAACGGG